rnacentral:rRNA from 1 species
UACGUAGGGUGCAAGCGUUGUCCGGAAUUAUUGGGCGUAAAGAGCUCGUAGGCGGUCUGUCACGUCGGGCGUGAAAAUCCAGGGCUUAACCCUGGACCUGCGUUCGAUACGGGCAGACUAGAGUUCGGUAGGGGAGACUGGAAUUCCUGGUGUAGCGGUGAAAUGCGCAGAUAUCAGGAGGAACACCGGUGGCGAAGGCAGCUCGCUGGGACGUUACUGACGCUGAGACGCGAAAGCGUGGGGAGCAAACAGG